AGAGUUUGAUCCUGGCUCAGGAUGAACGCCGGCGGUGUGCCUAAUACAUGCAAGUCGUACGCACUGGCCCAACUGAUUGAUGGUGCUUGCACCUGAUUGACGAUGGAUCACCAGUGAGUGGCGGACGGGUGAGUAACACGUAGGUAACCUGCCCCGGAGCGGGGGGAUAACAUUUGGAAACAGAUGCUAAUACCGCAUAACAACAAAAGCCACAUGGCUUUUGUUUGAAAGAUGGCCUUGGCUAUCACUCUGGGAUGGACCUGCGGUGCAUUAGCUAGUUGGUAAGGUAACGGCUUACCAAGGCGAUGAUGCAUAGCCGAGUUGAGAGACUGAUCGGCCACAAUGGAACUGAGACACGGUCCAUACUCCUACGGGAGGCAGCAGUAGGGAAUCUUCCACAAUGGGCGCAAGCCUGAUGGAGCAGCACCGCGUGAGUGAAGAAGGGUUUCGGCUCGUAAAGCUCUGUUGUUGGAGAAGAACGUGCGUGAGAGUAACUGUUCACGCAGUGACGGUAUCCAACCAGAAAGUCACGGCUAACUACGUGCCAGCAGCCGCGGUAAUACGUAGGUGGCAAGCGUUAUCCGGAUUUAUUGGGCGUAAAGCGAGCGCAGGCGGUUGCUUAGGUCUGAUGUGAAAGCCUUCGGCUUAACCGAAGAAGUGCAUCGGAAACCAGGCGACUUGAGUGCAGAAGAGGACAGUGGAACUCCAUGUGUAGCGGUGGAAUGCGUAGAUAUAUGAAAGAACACCAGUGGCGAAGGCGGCUGUCUGGUCUGCAACUGACGCUGAGGCUCGAAAGCAUGGGUACCCCUUAAAGGUUAGAUACCCUUGGUAGUCCAUACGGUAAACGAUGAGUGGCUAGGUGUUGGGAGGGUUUCCGCCCCUUCAGUGCCGGAGCUAACGCAUUAAGCACUCCGCCUGGGGAGUACGACCGCAAGGUUGAAACUCAAAGGAAUUGACGGGGGCCCGCACAAGCGGUGGAGCAUGUGGUUUAAUUCGAAGCUACGCGAAGAACCUUACCAGGUCUUGACAUCUUGCGCUAACCUUAGAGAUAAGGCGUUCCCUUCGGGGACGCAAUGACAGGUGGUGCAUGGUCGUCGUCAGCUCGUGUCGUGAGAUGUUGGGUUAAGUCCCGCAACGAGCGCAACCCUUGUUACUAGUUGCCAGCAUUAAGUUGGGCACUCUAGUGAGACUGCCGGUGACAAACCGGAGGAAGGUGGGGACGACGUCAGAUCAUCAUGCCCCUUAUGACCUGGGCUACACACGUGCUACAAUGGACGGUACAACGAGUCGCAAGCUCGCGAGAGUAAGCUAAUCUCUUAAAGCCGUUCUCAGUUCGAACUGUAGGCUGCAACUCGCCUACACGAAGUCGGAAUCGCUAGUAAUCGCGGAUCAGCAUGCCGCGGUGAAUACGUUCCCGGGCCUUGUACACACCGCCCGUCA
rnacentral:rRNA from 1 species